rnacentral:rRNA from 1 species
GACGAACGCUGGCGGCGUGCCUAAGACAUGCAAGUUGAGCGCUGAAGGUUGGUACUUGUACCAACUGGAUGAGCAGCGAACGGGUGAGUAACGCGUGGGGAAUCUGCCUUUGAGCGGGGGACAACAUUUGGAAACGAAUGCUAAUACCGCAUAAAAACUUUAAACACAAGUUUUAAGUUUGAAAGAUGCAAUUGCAUCACUCAAAGAUGAUCCCGCGUUGUAUUAGCUAGUUGGUGAGGUAAAGGCUCACCAAGGCGAUGAUACAUAGCCGACCUGAGAGGGUGAUCGGCCACAUUGGGACUGAGACACGGCCCAAACUCCUACGGGAGGCAGCAGUAGGGAAUCUUCGGCAAUGGACGAAAGUCUGACCGAGCAACGCCGCGUGAGUGAAGAAGGUUUUCGGAUCGUAAAACUCUGUUGGUAGAGAAGAACGUUGGUGAGAGUGGAAAGCUCAUCAAGUGACGGUAACUACCCAGAAAGGGACGGCUAACUACGUG